GACGAACGCUGGCGGCGUGCUUAACACAUGCAAGUCGAACGGAAAGGCCCUGCUUUUGUGGGGUGCUCGAGUGGCGAACGGGUGAGUAACACGUGAGUAACCUGCCCUUGACUUUGGGAUAACUUCAGGAAACUGGGGCUAAUACCGGAUAGGAGCCCCUGCUGCAUGGUGGGGGUUGGAAAGUUUCGGCGGUUGGGGAUGGACUCGCGGCUUAUCAGCUUGUUGGUGGGGUAGUGGCUUACCAAGGCUUUGACGGGUAGCCGGCAUGAGAGGGUGACUGGCCACAUUGGGACUGAGAUACGGCCCAGACGCCGACGGGAGGCAGCAGUGGGGAAUAUUGCACAAUGGGCGGAAGCCUGAUGCAGCAACGCCGCGGGCGGGAUGACGGCCUUCGGGUUGUAAACCGCUUUCGCCUGUGACGAAGCGUGAGUGACGGUAAUGGGUAAAGAAGCACCGGCUAACUACGUG
rnacentral:rRNA from 1 species